CUCUCUUUGCCCUCUACUUCGCAGGCACCACAAGGACUUACUUUUGAAAAAACACUAGUUUCCCAGAAUGAAUCAGUAGAAAAUGUUAAAGUUCCUGUUCGCAACUAUGAAAGAAUUGUGGGAAAACCUAAUAGAAAUAGAGAUUCUACAUUAACUGAACGUGAGAAGAUCCUGCUGAAUCAUUUGACUCAAACUAAAUUAAGCUUAAAGCGUUUGGCAGUCAAAA